rnacentral:rRNA from 1 species
AUGUUGCUGCUAUCACCAGUGCUGUUAUCUGUGGGGUUACUGCUGCUGAUGGUAUCGCUGCUGCUGUUGUUUGUGGGGUUACUGCCGCUAAUGGUGACGGUAUCGCUGCUGCUGCUGUUGUUUGUGAGGUUGGUCUCGCUGUUGCUUAGCAGGUCUUCGUCCUGGUGGCAGUGCUCCUUGCAUCUGCUUUUCAUUAUGUGGGGCUUGAGCUUGCUCAUGUCUGAUAGCCGUACUGGUUUUAGGAAGAACUCAUUUGCUCCUUCCUCCAGGCAUCUGAUUCAGAACAAACAAAACCGUAAUUGUCAGAGUUCAUUCUAA